AAACCCCAAAAUAUUUACCUGGGGUGCAGCAGCUGUGAGGAGAGCAGGACCAACAUCUGGUGAUGCAGCUGGUGGAUGGUGGGAGCAUGAAGGAGAAUUUGGGAAGUCACCCCAACUUGUGAUGCAGCUCCAGGGGGCCCCAGCUGCCCCAAGCCGUGGGGAAGGGAAGGUUGGAAAGCUCCGAGCCCAGGUCCUGCUGGCUGUCUGUGUCCCCCAGGCCCUGGAGAGCCUCAGCAGGAGGAUGAGCCUUUGUGCAUGGUG